UACGUAGGGACCAAGCGUUGUUCGGAUUUACUGGGCGUAAAGGGCGCGUAGGCGGCAAUUCAAGUCAGUUGUGAAAUCUCCGAGCUUAACUCGGAACGGUCAACUGAUACUGUUUUGCUAGAGUGCAGAAAGGGCAACCGGAAUUCUUGGUGUAGCGGUGAAAUGCGUAGAUAUCACUUGGAACGCCAAUGGUGAAGACAGCUCGCUGGGGGUGUCCUGACGCUGAGGCGCGAAAGCCAGGGGAGCGAACGGG
rnacentral:rRNA from 1 species